rnacentral:rRNA from 1 species
GACGAACGCUGGCGGCGUGCUUAACACAUGCAAGUCGAACGAUGAAACCUAGCUUGCUAGGUCGAUUAGUGGCGAACGGGUGAGUAACACGUGACUAACCUGCCCCUUUCUAUGGGAUAACGCUCCGAAAGGAGUGCUAAUAACGGAUACUCACACCGAGGCACAUGCCUUGGUGGUGAAAGUUUUUCGGAAAGGGAUGGAGUUGCGGCCUAUCAGCUUGUUGGUGAGGUAACGGCUCACCAAGGCGACGACGGGUAGCCGGCCUGAGAGGGUGACCGGCCACACUGGGACUGAGAUACGGCCCAGACUCCUACGGGAGGCAGCAGUGGGGAAUAUUGCACAAUGGGCGCAAGCCUGAUGCGGCGACGCCGCGUGAGGGAUGACGGCCUUCGGGUUGUAAACCUCUUUCAGCACCGACGAAGCGCAAGUGACGGUAGGUGCAGAAGAAGGACCGGCCAACUACGUGCCAGCCGCCGCAGUAAAAC